CUGGAAGAACUUUAUAGCUGUCGUCUUCAUUACUAUCACAGUAUGAAGAUGUUUAGUUUUUACUAGAGGAUGACGUCUGAGAUGACGCUGUUGACUCCGUUUCCGAACUGGACUGUCUCUUUCUUCUGCUGAGUGCCUUCUUUGAUAAUUUUUAUCAGAGAAUUUCUUUGAAGAUUCUUUAUUGGAAGUUUGCUUUAUUUUUUCCUUUUUUAUUGAUUCUCCUGAAGCAAGAUGAUUGAACAUUUGCUGAUAAAUCAUUUUAUAUUCUUUGGGAGUUUUAGCUGCUGUUAACAAGGCCUGAUAUUGGGCUUUCUGGGCACCAAAUGAGGGUUCUGCUUGCAAUGUUAAUUUACCAGCAUAAGAUACAGUUGAGAAUUGGAUUCUCUUGGUUAUCCAAUUUUUUACCACUUCUUCCGUGGGAACAUCAUGAAUAAAGGCAAAGACAAAUCAGAAGAGGCACCCAAGAUUUCAUUAAGACAAAAGACAAAUGAGACA